rnacentral:sRNA from 1 species
UCAUGAACAACGCAAAAUCAACAUUCUCUCAAAAAGCGUUCCUACGAGGGGUCUCUUGAUGCCUAUGAAGUACGGAAAUCGUCAUACAGAAUGGAGAACGACUGCAAAUGCAGAGUAUCGAUCUUGGGUGCAGUGCCUGCCUGGUCCUUACGGGCUUGGUGGAAGGGACUGCAAUGAUUGGUUCUACAC